rnacentral:misc_RNA from 1 species
AGAGAGAGAGAGAGAGAGAGAGAGCAGACGGCUGGACUGACCGAAGGAGGCCUCGGAACUGAUGUAGAUCUCGUGCGUGACGCCGGCGUGCUUGACCUUGACCCGGAUGGUGGGCACGGGCUUCACGUUGGGCGACGGCUCGUCGUCGCCGCCGCCCCUCUUCUGCACCAGCAUCCCGCCGGGCCGCACCUCCCACACCUCCUCCGCCGGCACCUUGCCGCCGCUCCCUCCUCCACCGGCCGCCGGCGCCUCCUUCGCCGACCCCAGCUUCACCGGCGGCGCGGCGGCCUUCCUGCCCCUGGGGCUCGCUCCCAGCAUGCUUACUCACCGCCUCCUGACUGCCCGCCCGGCUGCUCCCUCGCUCCUCGGCAAUGGCUAUGGCGCCAACCAACCGAACCAAAGCACGGGUAGGUUGGUAGGUAGCUAGCUAGCUUGCUAGCUAGCCCGAAGCUUCUCGGCGGGGCGGGGCGGGUAGCGGGGACCGGAGGGAGAAACCACGGACGGUCGGAUGGACAGCGAAGACCGGGAGGCAAUAAUGGCAGUCAGGCAGCGGGCGGGCGGGCGAAGUGGAUGCGGGAACCACCGCAUGGGCAAGGGGAAUAUAUACACACACACACCAACCAAACCAAAUAGAAUACCGGCAGCAGCGGCGGCCACUGCCCACAUGACAUGGCCGCGCGACCGCAUACAGUAGCGUCGGUCGUCAGGUCCGGAGGAGGAAGACGAUUUGAAAAUAGAUAAUCGCACACCCCACUCUCUGCUCAUACACAAUUCCGGCUUAUUGAUUUAGUUGGCUUUCAGAGCUUGGCUCCAUCCAUGAUCCAACGAUUUAAAUUUCGUUUUGUUUUACUUGUUGCUGUUGCUGCCUGAAAAAAAACUUGAAAGAUCGAUCGAUCGAUCUCGGGGCAUCAUUUCGGUUUGUUUGUUUGAUUGAUACUAAUAAAGAAGGAGAAUCCUGAUCGAGGAGGACGUCCGGUAGUGGAUUCGUUUGGGUUGGCAGUGUCGGCUGGCACUAGCAGCAGAGCCAGAGAUGCCGGCGUCUCGUAAUCAUGCGCUCUUUGGGGUUGGGGUGGUG